UGGAUAAAAAGAUGUGCGGUUAGGAUGAUACUGGUCCCCGGAUAAAUUGAUAGUGGUCUGUAGUGUCCCGGGAGGGUAUGGUAUUUGGAUUGGCUAUAGUAUUAGUGAUUGGUCGACACAUCUGGAGGUAUCGGACUGAGUCGGAGUCAUUUUUGUACGAAAUAGAUGCAGAAAUGGACUUGGCGCACUCAAAUAAGCAAAACUGAAGUUUUGCCAGUUUCGGGCACCCAGAAGUUGGUUUGGGUCGCUCAGAUCUUGAAUGCUGAAUUUUAUUGGAACUGGAAGCCAAUUCGGACCCUGUGUUCCGGGCGCCUAGAAGUGGGUCCGAAUGGUCUCUUUAGGAAAAUCAACUGUAGUGUAUGGUGGUAGGUGAGUUCCGUCGGACCAGGUUUCGGGUGCAGCAGACCGCAGGCAGAAGAACCGAAGAGGGAGUGUUGUAUGGUCUGGAGGAUUCGGACGCCCAGAACAUGGUUUCGGGCGCCCGAAAGUACUCGUUCCUGCAGGACAACAGAGAAGCCUCGAAUUUGCAUUUUAGCCUCCUAAAUUCUCCAAAUUACACAAUUCCACCUUGAGGAUUUCAGUUCCAGCAGAAUUCCAGCAGCGAUCUUCGGUGUUUUGGCUUGUGUGCGACGCAGGAAGAUCGGAUUGCUGCGAAACUUGGUUUGGUGGUUAGCUAACUUCUUGGAGAUUUCGUGGAGCCUAUUUUGACAGCAUUUGUUUGAGGAAGCUGAAUUUCGGACCAGAGGAGGUUGCUCCAUCAUACUCCACUGCUGUUGGGACUUUUUUUCACCUGAAUUAUGGAUUGGAAUACCCUUAGAGAAGAUUGUUACUGGUUCGUGGCUGAGCUUGGCAGGGCUUUCCAGCGACUUCUCGUCGUCGUGGAUUAAGCGCUAGUGGUGGGUUAAUGAUAUGCUUACUGAAUUCUACG